GACCCGAACCAGGUAUACCAAUAGGGCCAAUGGAGGUGCUGGAGGGUCUUUAACUCUCUAUUUCUUUAAUCUCUUCUCAUGUUUGAGGGCGAGAGGAAUAGAAGAGACUAUCUUUUGGGUACUAUCGAAUGGUAUAAAUUUUACAUUAGGGCUUAGGUUGGUUACAUUAAAUAUGACACUAUUUUCCUAAGAAGAAACUUCAGACUAAUGAAGACAAAAUAAAGUAUAAUUUUGCUAUACAGAAGAAGAUGGAUUCAUGACGAGUCCUUUGUAGCUAUUGAAUUUUGUCAUAUGCCAUUAUCAAAACUGUAUUCCUCAUUUUGGCCCAUGCAUGCUUUUCUAGUAGUAUGUUUAGAAAAAAUAGUAGUAAAUGCACUCUAGCAAAUUCAAGAGAUAUUACUGCUGAGUAAAAAGGAUUAGCAUAGAUGUCAUUUUGUUCUACACAAAAAAAAAGUCUUGCAUUCAUGAACAUCUUUUUUUUGUAGUUAACAAGGUUGAGACUAUCAUUAUUAUAUUAGUUUGUAAUAGCCUCAUUCUUUGAUGAUGAGGCACUUUCACUUGUACGCUCCUGUAUAACCUGCUUUUUGUAAUUUUCACUCAUUGCAAAAGAAACUAAUUACAGAGAAUGAUAAGCACAUGGAUCUGACCCAAUCAUGAUCAAGUUAUAAUAAAGUUGAGCUCAAGCCAACUUCUUUAAUUAAACCAUACUCAAGGUAUUAAUGAACAACUUGUUGAAAAUAUUUUGCAAAAAAUUUUAAGUCUUUCAAGACUCUAUACAUAGUUGAGACUGAUGACCUCAAUUAUUGCAACAACCCAGGACUUUAUUCAGAAAGGCUGGCCGAAAAGUAUUAUUUGGGUAUUUUGAUCUUGUAUAAGUACCCAGAUCUACCCAGCAAAUA
rnacentral:lncRNA from 1 species